AACGAACGCUGGCGGCAGGCCUAACACAUGCAAGUCGAGCGCUCACCUUCGGGUGGGAGCGGCGCACGGGUGAGUAACACGUGGGAGCCUACCUUGAAGUACGGAAUAACUGAGGGAAACUUCAGCUAAUACCGUAUACGCCCUACGGGGGAAAGAUUUAUCGCUUCAGGACAGGCCCGCGUUGGAUUAGCUAGUUGGUGAGGUAAUGGCUCACCAAGGCAACGAUCCAUAGCUGAUUUGAGAGAAUGAUCAGCCACACUGGGACUGAGACACGGCCCAGACUCCUACGGGAGGCAGCAGUGGGGAAUAUUGGACAAUGGGCGCAAGCCUGAUCCAGCCAUGCCGCGUGAGUGAUGAAGGCCUUCGGGUUGUAAAGCUCUUUCAGAUGGGACGAUGAUGACGGUACCAUCAGAAGAAGCCCCGGCUAACUUCGUGCCAGCCGCCGCAGUAAAAC
rnacentral:rRNA from 1 species